rnacentral:rRNA from 1 species
AAAUUGAAGAGUUUGAUCAUGGCUCAGAUUGAACGCUGGCGGCAGGCCUAACACAUGCAAGUCGAGCGGAAACGAGUUAUCUGAACCUUCGGGGGACGAUAACGGCGUCGAGCGGCGGACGGGUGAGUAAUGCCUAGGAAAUUGCCCUGAUGUGGGGGAUAACCAUUGGAAACGAUGGCUAAUACCGCAUAAUGCCUACGGGCCAAAGAGGGGGACCUUCGGGCCUCUCGCGUCAGGAUAUGCCUAGGUGGGAUUAGCUAGUUGGUGAGGUAAGGGCUCACCAAGGCGACGAUCCCUAGCUGGUCUGAGAGGAUGAUCA